GAUCAGGACUGUGUCAAUACAUGUUUGUGACGAUAAUAUUGUGCUAUAAUAAUAAUUAAUUAAAUUAAAUUAAUAAAGAUAAUAUUCAUCAGUAAGAAAAGUCUCCUGAUUACGUGUCACUUCACUUAUGAGUUAUUAAGACUUUACUGGGAUAUUUUCUUUCUUUCUCCAAAAACAACUGACCAAAUGUACAAUAAAUGCUGCACUUGAUCAUCUGCGUGAUAAGAUGACUGCGUCUGUGCUGCGGAGGAGCUGAAGCCUCCCUUCACUCCGGUUCUUCUGUAUGCAUCUAUUUAGAGUUUCCUCCUCGUUAAGUCGUCAUAAUCCUUCCAGAGGAGCGUCUGCAGCGGAGGAACCAAUGAACAGACUGUGUCAUCUCUCGGCAUCGAGCACCUUAAUCCCAUCAUCCUCCUCCCCCCCCCCCCCUCCGGAACCUCUCUGUCUGCUGUUGUUGUGGUCUCGUCCUCUGAUUUACACUUUACCCCAGCAACACAUCUGUCCAUCUUGGCACAUCGCAACCUUAUAAAUCUUCUUUUACCGGUGUGUGUGUCUGUGUGUCACCUGAUAAUUAAGCCCCCCCUGUUCCUGCGCUCCCCAGUUUGGUGAAACCCUGAACUAGUAUUUGUUAUCACAAUACAAAGACCUGUCAAUCACAGUGUAACCCCGCCCUAAAACAUCCCCUGCUUUAUGCAGUGGGGCCGAGUGCGAAGGUGCCACGUUCCCAUCAUCCUAUUGGCAGGUCACAUGAUCUGUCGCCACCUUCCUGUGAUAUGAUCGACAGGUCGCUAAAUCUGGAGGCACCUCCCUCUAAAAUUAUAGGACCAUGCCGAUAAUCAGAGAGGCGCAGCAACACUAAAACAGCAGUGGAAUAUAUGUUUUGAAAUAAAUAAAUCGAACCCAGUGACGGCUGGCAGUCGAGCAAACGGUUUGGCCGGACCGGGGCGGGGGGGUAGUAGUCAGUCUGCCGGUGCUCUCUGUCCGCUGGUCCGACCACACCGCCACCGCAAACUACCACCGACCACCGCAAACUACCACCGACCACACCGCAAACUACCACCAACCACCGCAAAUUACCACCGACCACACCGCAAACUACCACCGACCACCGCAAACUACCACCGACCACCGCAAACUACCACCAACAACGCAAACUACCACCGACCACACCGCAAACUACCACCGACCACCCCAAACUACCACCGACCACCGCAAACUACCACCGACCACACCGCAUACUACCACCGACCACCCCAAACUACCACCGACCACCGCAAACUACCACCGACCACACCCCAAACUACCACCGACCACCGCAAACUACCACCGACCACCGCAAACUACCACCGACCACACCGCAUACUACCACCGACCACCCCAAACUACCACCGACCACCGCAUACUACCACCGACCACCCCAAACUACCACCGACCACCGCAAACUACCACCGACCACACCGCAAACUACCACCGACCACCGCAAACUACCACCGACCACCCCAAACUACCACCGACCACCCCAAACUACCACCAACCACCGCAAACUACCACCGCCGUUCUGACAAGGAACCUUCUGCCGACCACUUUUCGCACUCGGUUUAUGGUCUGUUUGACUCUGAAUGGACCAUAAUUUAGUAAAUGAACAUCAUGUUGUAUUGAAUAAGACUUGAAACUAGAGAUCGAGACCAACAAUGUUUACUGAGGGAAUAAGUAGAGUCAUUGUCUCAUAGACGUCUAUGGGACCAGAGGAGUCGCCCCCUGCUGGUCAGGAGAGAGAAUGCAGCGUUAACACAUUAAGCUUUGGCCUCAUUUUAAAGAGGUGGAGGUUGCCGCCGGGUGUAGACGGGCAUAAUACGAAGACACAGAUGGAAUAAAACCGCUUACCUGUAAGCAGGUGUUUGGCUCACGGAGAUCAGACCACAACUUAACAAAGUGUUAAAACAAGAGAAUUGGGGUCUAAAACAAAGGGAAGUCUCCUUGGGGAGGAAGCCGGUCACUUGAAUGUGCCUGGGGGGGGAGAGGGGGGAGUGGGCGAGAGAAGCAUCCGAUGAAGCCAGGGGUGCGUUGGUCAUGGAGCAUGAGGUAAGUCCCUCUGCACCCCCCCCCCCCCCUUUGUCCCUCACGGAGGCCCAGUUGGUUUAGUGGUUAAGCUUCCCCCCCGGACACACACACGAUGAACAGAUAGAGCGGUUAGAACGGGGCGGGGGGGUUAUGACAGUCGUCAGACACAUGAGUGCGUAUUGAAAGCAUGUAUGGAUACAUCUGUGUUUUGGUUGAGUAAAUAUGUACAGUAUCUACAUAUAUGUAUAUGGUAUAUUUAUUUGACCUUCCUAUUGUAUAUGUUUUAUUCGUCUUCGUACUUACGCUGCUGAAUAAAGGAAUAUGUCUCUAACCAGCGAGACGGAUCUUCCUCGCUCUCAUUCUGCUCUGUGAGAUUCCAUCUCACGGAGCAGAAUGAAGUGCCGUUAUUAUGUGGCAGGGAGUAAUUAUCCUAAAGCACCGACAUUUAGCUUCCAUCAUGGGUUCGGACCCUCAAGCACAAGAAAGAAGCAUUUCUUCAGCAAUGGCAACGAGGUAAAAAUACAAAAAACGUACAAACUAGCAGCCUAGAUGUCCUGAGACAGCAGACGUAAUAGUAACGUAGCAGAGUGGCACGCUGCUGGAGACCCACAAUGCAUUGCUGGACCCGCUAGAGGGAAGGGAGGCCCGAGAGAACCAAAACCAGGA
ensembl:lncRNA